CUAGUUCACGCAACGCGAGCGUCCGCGCCGCAGCCAUGCCGGAUGAGCGCAUCCUGCUCGUGACCGGUAUUCCCUCAAAGCAAUGCACCAGUGAGUACCUGUACUCCCUCUUUGGCGCCUACGGGGGUAUUCAGCAAAUCCGUAUCGGGUCAUCCUCCAUCACGAAGGGCUGCGCCAUUGUUGUGUACGAGCAAUGUGAGGCCGCAAAUAAUGCAGUCGGCGCACUCAACGAGUACGCUCUCAGCAAGGACCGCGUGCUUCGAGUGUCUGUGUACGAAGAAGAGAGAGAUAAAAAGGCCCUCGAACGGCGGAAGCGGAAGCGGGAGAUGCAGGCGGAAUACAAGAAACACAUUGCCGACGUCGCACAUGCCGCUGAUGAGCCGAAAGAGUGACGAGCCGCGCAGACACUUUGCAUCUGCUCUUAGCAGCUACUACUAUGUUUCGCGCGUGCAGUUAUGGUUGUUGGUGGUGUCGCGUAUUUGGAGCCGUGUGCGUAUGUGUUUGCACGUGUGUGUGUGUGCGUUCCGAGAUGAGUGCGUGAG
rnacentral:misc_RNA from 1 species